ACUCCAUAACGGAAUAUGAGACGGGCUUGACCCGUGUUCCGAAGCUGAUGGCGAAAAACAAUGCCAUCUAUCUAUUAAUACGAAAAAUUAAAAGGGAGAGGAGAGGGAAUUAAGCAGCAAGAUUAUUAUGUUCCGUUGAUAACCACCAUUGAUUCGUGUUCUGUACUUGAUUCAACCUUAGAGGAAAAAGAAAUGAAAAAGGAGGAAUGAAAAGGAAAACUUUCUUGUCCCUGGUUUUCUUUUUUCUAUGCUUCAUCAUUAUUUGAAUCUACAUGAGGUAGAUCAAGCUGGCUGUUCGAAAAAAAAAAAAGAAAA
rnacentral:sRNA from 1 species